CCUACGGGCGACAGCAGUGAGGAAUAUUGGUCAAUGGCCGGAAGGCUGAACCAGCCAAGCCGCGUGAAGGACGAAGGUGCCAAGCAUUGUAAACUUCUUUUGUCAAGGGACAAAAUCAGGCUCGAGAGCCUGACCGAGGGUACUUGAAGAAAAAGCAUCGGCUAACUCCGUGCCAGCAGCCGCGGUAAUACGGAGGAUGCGAGCGUGAUCCGGAUUUAUGGGGUUUAAAGGGUGCGUAGGCGGACUGGUAAGUCAGCGGUAAAAGCCCGGGGCUCAACCCCGGCGAGCCGUUGAAACUGGCUGUCUUGAGAUGUCGAGAGGUAUGCGGAAUGCGCAGUGUAGCGGUGAAAUGCUUAGAUAUUGCGCAGAACCCCGAUUGCGAAGGCAGCAUACCGGCGGCGAUCUGACGCUGAGGCACGAAAGCGUGGGUAUCGAACAGGAUUAGAUACCCGGGUAGUC
rnacentral:rRNA from 1 species